rnacentral:rRNA from 1 species
GUCUACGGUCAUACACUCUGAACAUAUCCGAUCUCGUCUAAUCUCGGAAACUAAGCAGGGUCAGGCCUGGUUAGUACUUGGAUGGGAGACCUGUCUAGAUUUCUAAUUGGCAGAAU